GAUGAACGCUGGCGGCGUGCUUAACACAUGCAAGUCGAGCGAGUGAGUUCUUCGGAACGAUCUAGCGGCGGACGGGUGAGUAACACGUGGGCAACCUGCCUCAUAGAGGGGAAUAGCCUCCCGAAAGGGAGAUUAAUACCGCAUAAAAUUAUCGAGUGGCAUCACAUGAUAAUCAAAGGAGUAAUCCGCUAUGAGAUGGGCCCGCGGCGCAUUAGCUAGUUGGUGAGGUAACGGCUCACCAAGGCGACGAUGCGUAGCCGACCUGUGAGGGUGAUCGGCCACGUUGGGACUGAGACACGGCCCAGACUCCUACGGGAGGCAGCAGUGGGGAAUAUUGCACAAUGGGGGAAAACCUGAUGCAGCAACGCCGCGUGAGUGAUGAAGGUCUUCGGAUUGUAAAGCUCUGUCUUUGGGGACGAUAAUGACGGUACCCAAGGAGGAAGCCACGGCUAACUACGUGCCAGCCGCCGCCGUAA
rnacentral:rRNA from 1 species